UACGGAGGGUGCGAGCGUUGUCCGGAAUCACUGGGCGUAAAGGGCGCGUAGGUGGCGACGCAAGUCAACGGUGAAAGCUCGACGCUCAACGUCGAGUCGGCCGUCGAUACUGCAUCGCUGGAGCACUGUAGAGGCAGAUGGAAUUCCGGGUGUAGAGGUGAAAUUCGUAGAUAUUCGCAAGAACACCAGUGGCGAAGGCGGCUCACUGGCCCGGUACUGACGCUGAGGUGCGAAAGCGUGGGGAGCAACAGG
rnacentral:rRNA from 1 species